rnacentral:rRNA from 1 species
UACGUAGGGAGCGAGCGUUGUCCGGAUUCAUUGGGCGUAAAGAGCUCGUAGGCGGCUUGAUAAGUCGGAUGUGAAACCUCCAGGCUCAACCUGGAGUCGCCAUCCGAUACUGUCAUGGCUAGAGCCCGGUAGGGGCCCACGGAACUCCUGGUGUGAGCGGUGAAAUGCGCAGAUAUCAGGAAGAACACCGAUGGCGAAGGCAGAUGGCUGGGCCGGUGACUGACGCUGAGGAGCGAAAGCGUGGGGAGCGAACAGG